AUUCCAGCUUCAAUAGCGUAUAUUAAAGUUGUUGCAGUUAAAAAGCUCGUAGUUGGAUUUCUUGUAUAUGAAGCGGGUCGGCUCAAAGAGUCUGUACUAGCUUUCAUAUACAAUCCUCGUAACAAGCUAUUGAAUGAUUAAAUUCUUUCGUUAGUGAGUUGCGUCAUUUACUGUGAACAAAUUAGAGUGUUUAAAGCAGGCAAAUGCUGUGAAUACAUUAGCAUGGAAUAAUGAAAUAGGACUUUGGUGCUAUUUUGUUGGUUUCGAACACCGAAGUAAUGAUUAACAGGGACAGUCAGGGGCACUCGUAUUCCGCCGAGAGAGGUGAAAUUCUCAGACCAGCGGAAGACGAACCACUGCGAAAGCAUUUGCCAGGGAUGUUUUCAUUG
rnacentral:rRNA from 1 species